rfam:Camelus ferus unplaced genomic scaffold scaffold2477, whole genome shotgun sequence.
AUUUUAGUAUAAGCAUGUCCUAUGCAAUAUUUGGGACAUAUUUAUACUAAAA